CAGUACUCUUUGACGAUUGCAGGGCAAAACUACACACUGCACCUGGAAAAGAACAAAGACCUUGUCGGGAAAAACUUCUCCGUGACACACUAUUCUGAUCAGGGCACCCAAGUCACAACUACUCCAGAUCUUAGGGUCCACUGCUACUACCAUGGGCACAUUG